UACGUAGGGUGCGAGCGUUAAUCGGAAUUACUGGGCGUAAAGUGUGCGCAGGCGGCCAAGCAAGUCGAGUGUGAAAGCCCCGGGCUUAACUUGGGAAUUGCGCUCGAAACUACUUUGCUGGAGUGUGGCAGAGGAAGGUGGAAUUCCACGUGUAGCGGUGAAAUGCGUAGAGAUGUGGAGGAACACCAAUGGCGAAGGCAGCCUUCUGGGCCAACACUGACGCUCAUGCACGAAAGCGUGGGGAGCAAACAGG
rnacentral:rRNA from 1 species